UAUUGACCUUGUAGUUGAAAAAAGAGCCUCAUAUGGAGUCCGUUCAUUCGCAUUCGGAUAUCGACUCGUUUUCACUGCCGAGGUGGUAGUGGCCGGAAAGUUAACAGCUGCGAUGCCUAAACUUAUGCCUCUCAGUCCAGUGGAGCUGCUGCUCUAAAGAGCCCUGCUCCUCUCCCCCUGCGUCCAUCCCGCUUCCCUUUCUUUUGGGGAGCUUGGGCAGAGGGAGAGGAGGCGGUGGAGGAGGGAUCCUGCAGUGCUUGCCGCGAGAGAAGUUCCAUGAAGACAGAGUCCAUCUGGCGACAGACCUCCUGUGAGAUGAAAUAAACAAUGUGUCAUGCAUUUCUCAUACACCGGCCCUUGUACUUCACUCUGGCUGGGGAAGAUGCUUUCGUGCUGGAGGAUGAUGCUGUUCACCAGGGCGUUGAUCUGAGGCUGCAGGGUGACAACAUCAUCAUCGUGAGCCCCU